AGUUAAGAUUAAACUAUUGAUUUUCAAAAUUAAAAAUUUUGUCUAUAGGGGGUUUG
rnacentral:tRNA from 1 species